GACGAACGCUGGCGGCGUGCUUAACACGUGCAAGUCGAGCGAUGAAGUUCCUUCGGGAAUGGAUUAGCGGCGGACGGGUGAGUAACACGUGGGUAACCUGCCUCAUAGAGGGGAAUAGCCUUUCGAAAGGAAGAUUAAUACCGCAUAAGAUUGUAGUUUCGCAUGAAACAGCAAUUAAAGGAGUAAUCCGCUAUGAGAUGGACCCGCGUCGCAUUAGCUAGUUGGUGAGGUAACGGCUCACCAAGGCGACGAUGCGUAGCCGACCUGAGAGGGUGAUCGGCCACAUUGGGACUGAGACACGGCCCAGACUCCUACGGGAGGCAGCAGUGGGGAAUAUUGCACAAAGGGGGAAACCCUGAUGCAGCAACGCCGCGUGAGUGAUGACGGUCUUCGGAUUGUAAAGCUCUGUCUUCAGGGACGAUAAUGACGGUACCUGAGGAGGAAGCCACGGCUAACUACGUGCCAGCCGCCGCAGUAACAC
rnacentral:rRNA from 1 species